CACACACACACAUGUAAGUGUGUGUCUCCUGCUUUCCUGGCCCCCCUCCUUCUUUUCCUCUUUGCUAGUUGUAUCAAAAUCGGGUCCGUUUAAUUUAUCUUUCCGCGUUAAAUACAUGGUAUACAUAUAUUGGAAAAAGGUGUAUAUAUGGAUUCCAAGGUAAGGUGAUAGAUGUAUGAACAUAUGGACCGGAUGAUAUUUUCCUAUUCUUGCAUGCUAAUCACCUCUGUUAUGCGCGCCCAAUGUGUAUGCCAAGAGCCCCGCGCCUGACUCUGAAACCAUAGUAUUGGCCAGUACUCUGAGUGACUUCAUCCCGUAUGCAACUCCUCGGCUCCAGGCUCUAUGCAAUGUAAUGGCUAGAUUACCUUAAGGAUAUUGUGAUAUGAAUUUACGACAGUGUUGAUUCGAAGUCAAAGAAAAUGAGGAUUCGGAACACAUGAUUAAACAAAUGUUUAACCUUCCAAUAUACUUUUAAUUGGUGUCUCAGAAGGAAGGAUAAAUAUGGAACUGUGGCUGUGUGUUAGUGUGUUUAUUUCCACUCGCCUUGUGUUAUUUACUCACGGACAAGGCAUUGCAGCGGUGGGCGGUGACGGAGGAAGGGGUGGAGGCGUUGUAGCGGUGGACGAAGGUGACAACGGAAGCGCAGGAGGCUGCCAAGAUCUCCAUCCUUCUUGCAGGGGAUGGGGGGAGAGGGGGGAAUGCGAGAUCAAUCCGGCAUACAUGCUUGCCAACUGCCCCGUCACGUGCGACUCCUGUAUGCCUCAAAGCGAGGAAGAGUGUGUGAAUCGGGCCGAUUCCUCCUCCUGCGACCUGGAGGCCCUCCUGGGCCGCUGCACGACCAACCCUUCCUUCGCCCUUCGCUUCUGCGCCGGAUCCUGCAGGCACUUCAUCGACGUGUGCGCGCGCGCGGGCACUCGAGGCAAGUCAUACCCAUUUUUUACAA